rnacentral:rRNA from 1 species
AGUGAACGCUGGCGGUAGGCCUAACACAUGCAAGUCGAACGGCAGCACAGUAAGAGCUUGCUCUUACGGGUGGCGAGUGGCGGACGGGUGAGGAAUACAUCGGAAUCUACUUUUUCGUGGGGGAUAACGUAGGGAAACUUACGCUAAUACCGCAUACGACCUACGGGUGAAAGCAGGGGAUCUUCGGACCUUGCGCGAUUGAAUGAGCCGAUGUCGGAUUAGCUAGUUGGCGGGGUAAAUGCCCACCAAGGCGACGAUCCGUAGCUGGUCUGAGAGGAUGAUCAGCCACACUGGAACUGAGACACGGUCCAGACUCCUACGGGAGGCAGCAGUGGGGAAUAUUGGACAAUGGGCGCAAGCCUGAUCCAGCCAUACCGCGUGGGUGAAGAAGGCCUUCGGGUUGUAAAGCCCUUUUGUUGGGAAAGAAAAGCAGCAGGUUAAUACCCCGCUGUUCUGACGGUACCCAAAGAAUAAGCACCGGCUAACUUCGUG